rnacentral:lncRNA from 12 species
AUGGGACAAGCCAUGGUUUCAAAGUGCUGUGGGUGUAGAAUUUGGUACACCAGGAAAGCUGUAGUGUUUGUACUUGGAGGCAGUUUCCCUGUGGAAAUGAUCACGAUGGACCAGACAGCUGAGUCAGCACCGGUAAUAUCAGAACAUAGACAACCAACAGCUUCCAAUCCAGAUGGCUUCUGGUGCUGCCUUCAUGUUCUUAAGUGAAGGAGGGUGAGACUUUGUGAACCAUUAUAAUAUCCUUCCAAUCUGUGCAUUGCCAUUUUGAUGCUAAUGCAGUAUUCCUAAGGAAUAUUCCCCCAACUGCAAGUUGCUAAACAGAUGCAUUCUCCUGACAUUCCCCUUCAAUUCAUAGGGAGUUUUGAAUUUAAAGACACAUAAAACUGUCUCUUUGAAGUAAAAGCACUUGUUUCCACAUCCACCAGAUAGCACUGUAUACAUUUAAGGAAAAGUUAAGAUGUUUUGAUUUUAAACUUAAAUUUCACCUUCUUUACAGUAUCUCUAAGCCAAUAAUCAAGAUACCAUUUUUUAGCAUUUUGUUUUUUUCUUUUUAAUGUAGAAGGCCUGCAGCCUAAUUAAUAUCCUGUGAAUUCUAAAGGAAUCUAGCAUACUUGAGCCCAAAGCAGAUAGAGGCUGAGAUUCAAUCCUUUUAAACAGCCUAAUUUAACCCAAUCCAUGUGUGCAAGAGGUUGCUUGGUCAACAUUUUAUAGCAGACCCUAAAAAUCUGAAGUAGUUUUGAGAUUUUCUUACAAUAGAAGUAAUUUCACAGUUACUUGGCAUUUUUCCCAGAGUGUCCUGAUGUUGUUGAGAAAAUUCUUGAUCAAGAGUGGUUAAGUGUUGGAUGGAGGAAAGCCACCAGACAAGACACAGGCAAGAAUCUCCUAGUUCAUUGACUACACAAAAAAUUAAAAUUUAGUAAGAAAGGAAUUUUCCCAGGAUUAUGCUAGUUAAAAAUAAAAAUGUAGUUUGAUGGUGUAUUUUGUAGAGU